GCAGGAUUGAAGUUGAAGUGCGAGUGUGGCUGAGCUAGCGCACUGCAUGUACCGUUGAGGCUGUUUACAUAGAAGAAACUGGUAUAUUAGAGAGUAUACUAAGAAACGCAAGGAGAAAAAUGGUGCUGAGAGACUCUGAAUGACUGCAAGAGACACAAUGGCAUCAAGAUAUGAAGAAGAGGAGACUGAGGAUGAGGAGGAGUUGAGAUUGUAUUUGGAAGAGAAGAAAAAACGUAAGAAGAAAAAGCAAAAGAAGAUCCUGGAGAACGUUGUAUUUGGAGCCGGUGUAGUUGCAGCUGCGGCAGUUGUUAUAGGAGCAGUGGUGACUACUGGAGUACUACCUGGCAUUGUUGAAAUUAUCAAUGAAGUGAAAAAGAGACAGGAAAAAGAAAAAGCUGCAAAAGAUCCAUAAUAAAAAAAAACAUAUUCCCUAUAGAACAGUCUUUCCCAUUACAUCUGAGAUGCUUAUGGGUGUAAGGCUUGAAGGCACUUUGACACAAGAGCCCAACUGUUUUAUACAGUGUUUUAUAAAGCCUAUAAAAAAAAAAAAAAAAAAAUUCUUCAUGUAUU